AUUCCAGCUCCAAUAGCGUAUAUUAAAGUUGUUGCGGUUAAAAAGCUCGUAGCUGGAUUUCUGCUGAGGACGACUGGUCCGCUGCCGUUAGGUAUGUGAGUGCCGGUGCGCGUUUACCAUCCUUCCAGAGAACACUUCUACCAUUUAUUUGGACGGAUGUUGUCUUCUGGAUCUUUUACUUUGAAAAAAUUAGAGUGUUUAAAGCAGGCCUUUGCUGUGAAUACAUUAGCAUGGAAUAAUAAUCUAGGACUUCGGUUCUAUUUUGUUGGUUUCUAGUACUGAAGUAAUGAUUGAUAGGGAUAGUUGGGGGUGCUAGUAUUGGCCGGCCAGAGGUGAAAUUCUUGGAUUCGGUCAAGACUAACUUAUGCGAAAGCAUUCACCAAGGAUGUCUUCAUCA
rnacentral:rRNA from 1 species